UAUAAAUUUACCCUCAUCCAUAGCGUUAGUUGUUUCUGUAAAUAAGGCUUUAGGUUUAACUUAUGGAAACUCCAUGCUUGUAAUUUUGUCCACAGUAUCUACAAAAAGAAUUGUGUACCACUUUCUCUUUUACUUAAUAUGUGCUUUAUUAAAUUUACCCUCAUCCAUAUAGCGUUAGUUGUUUCUGUGAAUAAGGCUUUAGGUUUAACUUCUACAAAAACUCAUGCUUGUGACUGCUUUAGGGUACAGUGAUGGUACAACUGUACUGACCUUUUUAAUAUACCGGUCUUUUGUGUCUACUAGUUUUUCACUUUAAAAAAAUGGAAAAUCUGUAGAUAGAGCUGGAAACAUUUGGGUAUUAAAGAUUAAUUAAUUACGCUUCAAAUCCGGUACAGCUCGACCUUGAUGAUCAAAUAAAACCUUGCCAUAAAAUUUCCUUUUCAGUUUGGUAAUAUAAAGGUUGU